rnacentral:misc_RNA from 1 species
UGAUGCCCAGGGUUCAAAAGUCAUGUAUUUCACGCUUGCGUGAAAAAACAUGACGUUGGAACCCGUAAAACAUGAAUUGGCAAAGAGGGGGUGAACUAUGGAGAGCGUAAAAACAGCCUGGCGGUCGUUUGACAGCCGGCAUCCGGGCAUCG